GGAGGUAUAGCUCAGUGGUAGCAUGCCUAGCAUGCACAAGGUCCUGGGUUCAAUUCCUAGUACUCCCU
rnacentral:tRNA from 1 species